rnacentral:rRNA from 1 species
CCCGUAACGAGCGCAACCCUUGUCCUUAGUUACCAGCACGUUAUGGUGGGCACUCUAAGGAGACUGCCGGUGACAAACCGGAGGAAGGUGGGGAUGACGUCAAGUCAUCAUGGCCCUUACGGCCUGGGCUACACACGUGCUACAAUGGUCGGUACAAAGGGUUGCCAAGCCGCGAGGUGGAGCUAAUCCCAUAAAACCGAUCGUAGUCCGGAUCGCAGUCUGCAACUCGACUGCGUGAAGUCGGAAUCGCUAGUAAUCGUGAAUCAGAAUGUCACGGUGAAUACGUU